rnacentral:rRNA from 1 species
GAGUUUGAUCCUGGUCAGGACGAACGCUGGCGGCGUGCUUAAUACAUGCAAGUCGAGCGAGGUUACUGUUUCGGAUCCCUUCGGGGUGAAGAAGCUUUAACCUAGCGGCGGACGGGUGAGUAACGCGUGGGUAACCUACCCCAAAGUCCGGGAUAACAGCGGGAAACCGCUGCUAAUACCGGAUGCCUUUACCUUGGGGCAUCUUGAGGUAAAGAAAGGCAACGCUUUGGGAUGGGCCCGCGUCCCAUUAGCUAGUUGGUGAGGUAACGGCUCACCAAGGCGACGAUGGGUAGCCGGCCUGAGAGGGUGGACGGCCACACUGGGACUGAGACACGGCCCAGACUCCUACGGGAGGCAGCAGUAGGGAAUAUUGCGCAAUGGACGGAAGUCUGACGCAGCGACGCCGCGUGAGCGAUGAAGGUCUUCGGAUCGUAAAGCUCUGUGCCUUGGGGAAGAAGGCGAAAGCUUGACGGUACCCAAGAAGAAGCCGGGCUUAUUACGU